GGGUUCCGCUUGACUCUGCAUUCUCCUACUUCCCUGCCUGCUUACUCUCUGCCAUCAUAGUUUUUUGCUUCAACCUUCAAAUGUAGCCAUUCUUUUUCUAAAGCGGUACUUAUUCUCUUUAUUAGUUAAAAUUAUUAAUUUUAUGCACUUACUGUUCUAGCUCCAAUUUUGCAUUUCCAGUUCCCUGCUGGGAAUAAAUUAAAUUGGCAGAAGCUCAGUCUAAGUGCCUGCAACAGAAUUUGUCCCAUAUCCAUACAACUUGCUCCUCCACAACAAAUGGGAGAAUCAUCCUCUUACCUCCAGGCUGUGAUGGAGGAGAAGCUACCCCUCAGCACAGGAUUUUGGUAGAAUAAGAAUAAAAAUGACAAGUCCCUUCCUGAAAAGCUCUUCAUUGUCUCUUGAAAACGGUCUGUGAAAGUGCCAAACCACCAGCUCUCCAGAUGUGGCUGAAUAUCAAGGUAAAUUUAAUUUAGACUUAGCUUGGGAUCCCCGUCAUAACAAAUCGGAUAAAGCGCAUGCACACACAUGUGCACACACACGCACACACACUCAGACAUGUAAAACCCAUCCUAGACAGUUCAAACAAGGUUUGAGUACCACUUUCCACGUAUCAGGCUUACAAGGUGCCAAGAACAUAGAGUUCCUGACCUUGAGGAGCCUGC
rnacentral:lncRNA from 10 species